AGCAGCUGAGAAGAUGUAAGCAGGAAGUGAGAGGCUGAGUUGCUAGAUGGUGGGUAGGUAGGAAUGUUUCUGUGCUCAUUGAAAAUCGUGGCGUAUCUAGUGUGAGGGAAGGAGUCGUCUUUAUUUUGAGAGGGAUUAGAAGUGAGGAAAGAGGCAAGUAAUUUGCACAGCAAAAGCUCAUUCUUGCUGCCACGUAGUAGGAAAUCUCUUAGUGUAAUGACUUUCACAGUAUAGAAAGCCGGUUAGUACUGGGAAGUGGCAUGUAGGGAAGAUAUAUUUUGCAGGAUUAGAGAAGUUAUUAGUGAAAAAGAACCAAAAUCCAUUUUAAAUGGAUGAAAUGUAUAACUUACUCAUGAGAGGUUUCAGAGUAGCAGCCGUGUUAGUCUGUAUCCGCAAAAAGAACAGGAGUACUUGUGGCACCUUAGAGACUAACAAAUUUAUUUGAGCAUAAGCUUUUGUGGACUACAGCCCAUUUAAUCGGAUCUUGACUCCAAACAAAGAGGCCCUGAAACUUAUCCAUAGCUCUUAAAGGAAGACUCAGAGUGGAGAGUACAAAAACCUAACUCUUAAGGUCCUGGUUAAUGAGGAAAUCGGAAGGGGCUUAUGUGCACAAGAAAUAGUUGUAGUCAAUAGUUAUACUGGUAUAACUAUUUCUGACAAGCUGUGAAACAACAGCAGCUUCACAGGAAAAACUCAACAUUUUUUGCUAAUUUCAAAGCAAAUAACACCUAAUUUUUUUUUUUUUUUUAGAAUUUAUUUUUUGUCUGGAGCAUUUCCAGGGGAAUGAAUCACCGACAGGAGUUAAUAGCUCAUGACUUCUCUUUGGGCCAGCAGUUCUGCCAGUUAGUCAUUAAUCUUUUCCAAGUAAAUAGGUGUUCGGUGAGUCUAUAUGUGGAAACUCUUCCGUCUGAGUCCGUAUUGAACCAUGGGCAGUGACAUGGUGCACAUUGUCAGCACUUGCACCAUUAUUUAUAAUUAUUUAUUAAGGGGGGAAUGUGCUGCUGGAAUAGCUGAUAUUUAGCUCAGUAUAUUAAAUUGGGAUUUUGCAUGCUUCUGGUCGCUAAAGAAGGCUGCACAAAUGUAGCAGUGUCAUCAACACCAAUAUCCUGGCCACCUUCCAGGAAGACAAGAGAAACCAGCACCUUGUACUUCUGCGGAAGGUCUUGACUGAUGGAUGUAAGCCAUGGCUGCAAAGAUGAAGGGAUUGGUCUCUGGAGCACAGCUUGAGCAUUUGAGCUUCCAUGGAAGAACACGAUUGGACACCAAGAUCUCAUUUACAAUUGCUUCCACAUUAUGAAGACUGGCAGAUGUCAUGUCCACUUUCAUUUGAAACAUUUAUUACUGAAAAAUAGUGAAAGAGGGUAGCUGGUAUGCCUAUUGAGGUGAAUAAAACAGAAUGAAGAACUGAAGCAGCACAUGAGAAAUCUGAGGAAAAAAGGCCCAGUACUGUUUGCCCACUCAGAAAUGAUAAAGAGGAGCACGGCGAAGUUUGUCAACAGAACAUCAAACAAAGAUUUAAAGACUUGGAGCCAAAUUGUGCUUUCAGUUAAGGUACACAACCAAAGUACAGUAAAAGGGUUGCACCUGUGAGAAUAAUUGGUAAUAAUAAUAAUAAAUAUUGCUGGAAUAAUUUGGCCCAUUGAGUUAAAAAUUCUAGUCUUAAAUCCACACUGUAGUCUUCUCAUCUAGGCCCUAGUCCUGCAAAUAAUUUGGCGCAUCGAGUUAAAAAUUCUAGUUUUAAAUCCACACUGUAGUCUUCCCAUCUAGGUCCUAGUCCUGUAUAGAUUUACUUAUAUAAGCUGUCCUUUUUGCUUGUUUGCUCAAUUGGGGGGCUAGAAGAUUAGUGUUGGGAUUCCUUCUGAGACCUUUUCCACUCGACUUAUCCAGGACACCUUUUCCAGUUCUGGGACAACACUUCAUCCAGUUCUCUGGGAUCCAAAACAUGCAGUUUGACUCUGGAUUUCAUCAUUCAGGUUCCUUUAUUUGGCAUACAGCAAAGCUAAACUGAGUUGAUCCAACUCAAGCAGAGGAGGAGGGUAUAGGGUGUAUCAUAUAUCCAAAGUUACAGAGACAACCUCUUCCUUUAUAUACUUAUACACAUUACAUAGCAUUUGCUAUACAUUAGAUCACGCAUUUUUGGAUUGGUUUGGUUUCUUUGUAGCUGCCAGUCCCUGUACAGCGUGCUCUGUCCAUGUGCCGUUCAUAUGGAACCUGAUCUUUACCUUCCAGGUUUGUCUUGUCCAUAGUCCUUAACAUCAGGGUGUUGCUGCUUAUUUUAGUUAGCACAGAUAUCCUGACUCCAGCAUACUGUUUUUCAUGGCCCUAUUUACAAUUUAAACUUCCAUUCGCCUUCCCAAUUAUACCCACUAAGAAAUGAGGCAAGUUACUUAUGUCAAGCCAGGCCUACAGUUCGUUAUAUUGUAAUGAAAGCAUUUGGUGUGUGCAGUUGGUGUAAAUGGGCAUAGCUGCAUUGAAAUCAAUCAAUCAAGUUAUGCUGAUUCACACCAGCUGAGUGUCUGACAAUCUAUAUUUAAUAAAAAUGAGAGAAUUUUUCAGUUACUUUAGUGUCUGUGAAUUAAAUGGAGAGGAUAUUACAUGCGGGAAUUACCUUCACAUUUAUGCUUUUGACCCAAAUAGAAUAUGCCAAAGUAUUGAAUAAUACUGAAGCAUUUUAGGUCAGUUUGUGAUUUAAAAAAUAGUUAUAAAGAUGUAUAUACUAGACAGUUAAAUGUCACUAAAAUGCACAAUACUGUUGUUAAUUAUUGAAAUCAUGGAGAAAAUUUUUCAU